AGAUUUUGUGUGAUUAAAAUUAAAUAAAAAAUCAGAAUAUUGGUAAGAAGUGCCUCUUAAUUAAGAGGUUUAAGAGGCGGUAAGAGGUGUCGACGUGUUCAAUAGUUGUUGGGUGAGAAAAGAAAAAAAAAAUUGUUGAUUAUUUUCUCUUCCUCCUUUCUCUCUUUGUCGACGAAAAUAUUGGAAAAUCAGAAGAGAUAUCUCUAAAAAAUCUCUUCUCUCAAAAAUCGUUGCAAGCAGAGGAGAGUGAUUCAAUUCUGGUUUGAUGAUCAGAGAUGAUAAUUCUCCGAUUUGCCCAAACACGGUCGAGGAACAAGCUCAUUGGAAUCAAUUGGAGAAAAGGAAACUCUGAGAUAAUGCAACAAGUUAAUUGUGUUAGAUGAUGUUUUGGAUGUUUGUGUCAUUGUAUAGAACAGUUCUUAGAACCAUAUGAAAUAGUGGGAAAGAUGGAACUGAAGUUGGAACCAAUCUUGUACAUGUCUCUGUGACAAUUGCAGGAAAAAACAAAGAAAGAACAUUGGAUUAGCAUAGAGUAGAGGUUUUCUCAAGACUUUGGCUUCUCUCUGAAAGUUAUUACCAGGCUUUUUUUUGUGGUCUUAAUCUCAGAAAGUUGAUUUGAAUGAUUGUUUUGAAUCUCUUUGUUUCUAGUCAUUAAUCUCUGUUUUAUUGUCAAUGAAGUCAAUGAAUCUAUGUUUUGCAUUUGACAAGUUUUUGAUGUGAUUAUGAACUCUUCAAAAAAAAUUCUUAAGAACCCCUCAUAUGUUCUACCA